GACGAACGCUGGCGGCGUGGAUUAGGCAUGCAAGUCGAACGGUAGGAUACCUUCGGGUAUCUGAGAGUGGCGAACGGGUGAGUAACACGUAGGUGAUCUACCCUCAAGAUUGGGACAACCCAGGGAAACUUGGGCUAAUACCGGAUGAAAGCAGCAGUGAUGUUGUUUGAAAGGUGGCGUAAGCUGCCGUUUGGGGAUGAGCCUGCGCUCUAUUAGUUAGUUGGCGGGGUAAAGGCCCACCAAGGCGAUGAUAGAUAGGCGGCCUUAACGGGUGGUCGCCCACACUGGGAUUGAGAUACGGCCCAGACUCCUACGGGAGGCAGCAGUCGAGAAUAGUCUACAAUGGCCGAAAAGGCUGAUAGUGCGACGCCGCGUGAACGAAGAAGCCCUUCGGGGUGUAAAGUUCUUUUAUAUGUGAGCAGUGCUUUCUAUGUGAACAGCAUGGGGAGAGGAUAUUAGCAUAUGAAUAAGCAACGGCUAAACUCGUGCC
rnacentral:rRNA from 1 species